rnacentral:rRNA from 1 species
GACGAACGCUGGCGGCGUGCUUAACACAUGCAAGUCGAGCGGUAAGCCCUUUCGGGGUACACGAGCGGCGAACGGGUGAGUAACACGUGGGUGACCUGCCCUCAGCUCUGGGAAUAAGCCCUAGGGGAAACCGGGUCUAAAUACCCGGGAGUAUGACUCCAUGACGCGAUGUUGUGGGGUGGAAAGCCUUGUGCGGCUGAGGAUGGGCCCGCGG